GCCGGAUGUGGUGGCCCGCACCUGUAAUCCCAGCUACUCGGGAGGCUGAGGCAGGAGAAUCACUUGAACCCAGGGGGCGGAGGUUGCAGUGAGCCAAGAUGGUGCCACUGCACUCCAGCCUGGGUGACAGAGUGAGAUUCCGUCUCAA
rfam:Pan troglodytes isolate Yerkes chimp pedigree #C0471 (Clint) chromosome 10, whole genome shotgun sequence.